GGUGGCUUCUUCAAUCUCCAUGGCUUCCUCUUUGUUCUUUCCUUGGUUUAGAACGGACGAUGGGGUUUAGAUUCCCUCAUACAAUACUCAAAUCGUUAACACAAGAUUAGGAGAGCAUCGAACUUCGUCAGCGAGGAUUCUGAUCAAAUUUUAGCAGGGGUUUUGAAUAUGUUUUGAUGACUGCCCUUAAAGGUGCAACUUUCCAACAACUUAUAAUUAGAUGAUGAAGAAUGAUAAGUGUCAAAAGCUCUAUCAGGUACCACUAUUGCAGAAUUUGCAUGCAUCCUAUUCAAGCGUUUGUUACUCUAUGUCAGGAUUAAUCGGAGACUACUGAAGAGCAGCACGUAGUUAUCAGGUCAUGGGAAUCAAGUUAAAAAGACUUUGUGAAGAGAAUAGGUUGUGUGCGUGGGAUGCUGAUAGAGUGCAACAACAAAAUAAUAUUUGGGCUAUAAUAAUUUGAAGUGGACUAAUCUUAAAAUGGAGCCCAAAAGGAAAAAAUAUUAGCAGCCCAUGUAAUAAACGAAUGAGAACUUUUGGUGGGACGAAUUAUAUAUGAUAAAUAGGAGAUAUUCCUUGGAGCCGUGAUAGAAAAAUCGAAGAGACAGCAGCCGAUACAUUAGGAGGGAGGACGAAUUUCAGCAUUACUUCACACCUUUCAAAUCCGUUCGAUGAUAUCUAACCUAUUCGGAAUGACAACCGAAGCGGCACAGACUAUCAUGCGUGGCUAAGCCUCUCGUGACUUCUACCUGAAUGAACUUUUGCUUUGUUUUGCAUUGAACUUUGUUUACGGAUUUUUGUAACUGGUACAGCUUGACCACUUGUGUUGGAUUAUUGGUAAACGUUUCUUGUGUUU
rnacentral:lncRNA from 1 species